rnacentral:ncRNA from 1 species
GGUCAAGUGAAUAAGCGUGCACGGUGGAUGCCUUGGCAGUCAGAGGCGAUGAAGGACGUGGUAGCCUGCGAAAAGGUGUGGGGAGCUGGCAAACGAGCUUUGAUCCACACAUGUCCGAAUGGGGAAACCCACCUAAUUUAUUAGGUAUCUCUUAACUGAAUACAUAGGUUUUGAGAGGCGAACCCGGGGAACUGAAACAUCUAAGUACCCGGAGGAAAAGAAAUCAACCGAGAUUCCCUUAGUAGCGGCGAGCGAACGGGGAGCAGCCCUUAAGCGGUGUUGUGGUUAGUGGAACGCUCUGGAAAGUGCGGCCAUAGAGGGUGAAAGCCCCGUACACGAAAACCUAUACGCUGUGAAAACGAGUAAGGCGGGACACGUGAUAUCCUGUCUGAAGAUGGGGGGACCAUCCUCCAAGGCUAAAUACUCCUGACUGACCGAUAGUGAACCAGUACCGUGAGGGAAAGGCGAAAAGAACCCCUGUGAGGGGAGUGAAAUAGACCCUGAAACCGUGUACGUACAAGCAGUGGGAGCCGUUUUAAUACGGUGACUGCGUACCUUUUGUAUAAUGGGUCAGCGACUUACUUUCAGUGGCAAGCUUAACCGAUUAGGGGAGGCGUAGGGAAACCGAGUCUUAAUAGGGCGUCAAGUCGCUGGGAGUAGACCCGAAACCGGGCGAUCUAUCCAUGGGCAGGUUGAAGGUUGAGUAACAUCAACUGGAGGACCGAACCGACUACCGUUGAAAAGUUAGCGGAUGACCUGUGGAUCGGAGUGAAAGGCUAAUCAAGCUCGGAGAUAGCUGGUUCUCCUCGAAAGCUAUUUAGGUAGCGCCUCAUGUCUCACCUUGGGGGGUAGAGCACUGUUUCGGCUAGGGGGUCAUCCCGACUUACCAACCCGAUGCAAACUCCGAAUACCCAAGAGUGCAAUCAUGGGAGACACACGGCGGGUGCUAACGUCCGUCGUGAAAAGGGAAACAACCCAGACCACCAGCUAAGGUCCCAAAAUUCUGGUUAAGGGGGAAACGAUGUGGGAAGGCUUAGACAGCUAGGAGGUUGGCUUAG